GCGGCCCCUUGGCUCCCUGCAUUUUGCUCACAGAAGUUCCUUUCUCAUCAGUGGAAAGGGGCCACAACGUGGGUGUCCCCUCCCGGCACAAGCGUGGGUCAGCCUCCUCGCCGCCUCCCUCCAUCCCUCUCUCUGUCUCCGGUUGUAUUUCUGCCGCCUCCUCCUCUCUGCCGUUCCUCACCCUCUGUCUCCGGUUGUAUUUCUGCCUCCUCCUCCUCUUGCAGCUUCUCCUACCAGUCCUGACAAAAAGGCCAAGCGGCACGAAGUAAAGAGCGACCCGACUCCUUUUGGUUUGCGAGGUAGAGUGGCACCCUCGGGCACGGCACCCGCUCUGCGUCGGCAGGAAGCGCGGCCCAGCUGCUGUCGGGUGGCCGUCAAGACCACCUAAGGGGGAAGCUCGUGUGGGUCUCUGUGCUCCAGAGGCAGACACGUGGUUGUAUUCAGUGUGUGAUGCUCUGGCGACAGGUCCUUGAGGACAGCACGCCUCUCAGCCGACUCCUCUCAGCAGGUCUGUCCGGAGCCUGUGGAACUGCCCACCCCGUCAGGGGCUGCUGGCCACGGCUGCUGCGCUGGUCACCCAGCCGUGCUGGUGGAGCUGGGUGGGGUCUCACUGCCCAGUGGCUGCUGUCGGCUGUAGAGCACCCCGUUCCCCGCCAUUCCCUGCAGCACAGUUUGCCCCAACACUACCUGCUAGGAACACAGAGCAACUGGCGGGCCGACCCAGACCCUCCUUUCCUGGGGCCGGCAAGGCCGAGCUCCCUGUGGAACCUGAGCUUUCUUUGUUUCCUGCUUCCCUUAUAUUCUGAGGAUGCAAACUGCCCUGAGAAGUCCGGAGACCUCCCCUGACCUGUUGAGGACCCUCAAGUACAGGGAGGGGGCCUCAUGUUUGCAAUCUUCUUGAGUUUUCAAAUAAUUUGCAAAGGUUCCCAGGGGUGUAAGCAGAACCAGCCUCCCCAUCCCGCCCGCCUCCAGAGCCUCCUCACAUGACACUGCCAGCCCCACGGAGCCAGGCGGAAGCUGUGGCCACCCUGGGCGUGAGUUCAGAGGCAGGGAGCUGGCCCGGCGUUCCUGACCGUCUUGCCUGCAAGUGGGUGGACGCCCGGCUCGCUGCAUCGAGGCCCCAGGAGGCCCCAGGAGUUUGGGGGAAGGGAGCCAUUUCCCCAUUGACAGUCUCCCGGGAGAGGCUCCUCUUGUCUGUUAAGCCCUCUCCGCUUGUGACCUGGAGCCGGCAGAGCCGGUCCCUGGUGGCGAAGGUGGGCCGGGCUGGCCCUGUGGGCCAAACGCCACUUCUGCUGUACUUUGGCCAAGCUCAGCCUCCACUUCCGCCUCCUCGUCCGUGAAUGAGACGGUGCAGCCUGGCGGGGUCUCUAGGAAGCCAGUGUGGUGUUAAAGCCGGGCCACUGCCCUUGGGUCAUUUCUGCCAUAGGCGGUGGCAGUGAGCCCAGGUGAUCCUGGGUGGCCUGGGGCGCUGCCCAGCGCCCGCUCCCCGAGCCCUGCAGGUGGUGACUCCACCGAGCAAAGGCCGAUGGCUGUUGUACAGAAAACAGAGGGUACCAUCCUGGCCAUCACCCAGCCUCCUGCCUUCACAUAGAAUUCCCCAUCUCCUGGGGCAGUGCCACUGGCCUGGCUUGUGGCUGCCCGCUCCCGGGCGCUGCCGUUCCCAUCACGGUCAGACCUCUGCGUUUCGCUGCUGGCCUCCCCCGUGCCCUAUUCCAACACAGCGCUCUUGGUGGCCCACAGAGAGGCUCUGGGGAGCACUAAGCACCCACGGCCAGGGCAGCUCAAGAAUCCCUUUGUGUGUCUGGUGGCACCGGGGCAGGGCCGCUUGGGUAUCACCCUGCACAGGCUGGCCUCGCUGCCCCGUGGAGAGGUUCGUGUGUGAGGUCCUACCCGGGCCAUGCUGGCUCCUCUGCAUACACAGCAGCCACCCUUUUUUUGUUCCCACUGUCCUCAAUCAGAUUUUUGGUUCUGUCUGGCCAGAGGCCCCAGGUGUGGUGCCUCAGAGCGACUGGGGGCCUGGACAGGGAGGGCACGCUGGCAGCCAGACCCCACAGGCCAGUCCCUGCUGCUGUAGAGGAGGCAGCUGGGCCCCCAUCCUGUGCUGUGUCUCAGCCUCCCUUGCUGGGGGCAGCUGCGGGUACACUGUGGAGGCCAAGCUGCAGGUCUGUAACCGGAAAAUCACACAGAUGCAGGCCUGGUUUGGUGCCUGGAAGGCUCAGCUCCCUCUAGCUGUGACCCCAAGAAGGCAAAGCACUCAGGUGGAGUGGAGGGAGUGCUCCAUGCUCUGCUGGCUGACGGUGGCGUCCGGGCCCAGCUCCCUUCUCUACGCGGACAGCAGAGGCCUGCUUAGCACCAGCUUUUCCCUGCCAGUGCAGUGUCAGCCUUCCCAUGCCCCGCAUCGUCCAUCGCAAGGAAGCAUUUGCUUCCAGUGGCACCAAAUAGGAUUUGGAACCAGUUUGUGCCCAAACUCAAAUCCCGUUAGCAUCUGCCUUUUUCCCUGGAGUGCAUGUGUCCUGCUUUGAUGCAUUUGGCACCAGGUGGGAUGCGCUGGGCCUGCUGCCCGGUUGCUGCCUUUGCGUGUUUAUUCAGCCACGAGGGCAUCUCCCAUCUCCCCCACAUGGGAGAGGCGGGUGCCGUCCUCUGGGCACCUGGCAGGAGGAGCACUGGGUUGGGGAGGGGGACAUGUGUGGUCCCAAGUCUGGAAGAAACUCCUUCCUCUUCUCCCGCUUGGAGCUGUGUGGCCAGUGGGAGCCCAUCUCCGCCACGGCACCUGCGUGGCCUCAGCCUUCUGGUUCAGUGCCGCUGUGCCAGGGGCUACUCUCUUGCCAGCGGGGACCAUAGCCCUCAGUAUCACAUAGGUCGAGGGCAUCGGGCCCUCUCAGUGAGCCUCAGUUGUUGCUUUUAGAAACUGCUUCCCGGUUCGGUCUGCUAGGUGUUGAACAUGACUGUGGCACUCACGGAAAACACCUGCCCUGGGGGUCAUCUGCGGCAGGAAGGCUGCUUCCCUCCUGGCUAAGGGGCACUGCCCUGCCUGACAAGGGCGUGGCUUCCCCACGGCCUGGGGAUUGAGGUCUCCCACAGGGUAGCCCAGCAACUGGAAGCAGAUGCUCUCAAACCCUGAAACGUGCCAGGCAUUCUGGAAGCCUGUAGGGGUGUCCUGCUCAGCUCUUGAUGUACCGGGGAAGAUGACAGGCUGUGUUGGGGGCCCACGGUGCACAUCCCAGGGGGUCUGUGGGACUUAGGUGACCUCACCUCAGAUGGAUGCAGACAGCAGCUCAUCACCAGGGGGUCC